AUUAUGUGUAUUAAAACCUACCCUGAGAAUGGGCGGGUAAUCAAUUAGAAGUAAUGAUUUCCUUUUUUUUAUACGCAACUAUGUACCGUAUAUUACAUCCCAUAAUAUUUUUUUAUUAUGCGUGUGUGUUUUAUUACCGUGUACGCGUAAUUGUUAAUUCAUGGUGGGGAUAGACCAUUGUUAAUUGUUGGUCUCGGUCUUAACUAGGAAUGCCUUGUACGGGUCAUUGGUUCAACAAACCACCCGGAAUACGUCCCUGCCCUUUGUACACACCGCCCGUCGCUCUUACCGAUGAACUUCGCUAUGAAUCUGUUGGACUGUAUCCUUUAAUGAAUACGGAAAGAUAUAUGAAUAGUGUG
rnacentral:rRNA from 1 species